UCUAGCCGGACACGCUUGGGGACACAUUGGAGAUAGAGGGAGAAACCCUAACCCAUCGAAGACACACGCAGAGAGAGAGAGAGAGAGAGAGAAUAAGAACCUGUUGAAGCCCUCAGCCCUAGAUUGAGGACCUUUUGAGGAGAUUACACUCUCUUUAUUCUCCCAAGGCCCAUGUAUCAUCACAAGGUUCUGUCGUAGCUUUGCCAGGUGACAAACAUGAGACUCGUUCUUCUCUAAAACAACAAAACACAUCUGAGGGAUCUCCAGAAGCCUUCAAAGCCUCAUACCCAUUCAAAGGAGGGAAUGAUAUGAAACGAGCAGUUUUAAAAUUGUCUCAAAGAGUUCCAUGCUUUUGGUGGUUCCGUACAAUCACGUUUAAGUUUGGCAAUGGUCAGCUG